rnacentral:rRNA from 1 species
GAUGAACGCUGGCGGCGUGCCUAAUACAUGCAAGUCGAGCGAACAGACGAGGAGCUUGCUCCUCUGACGUUAGCGGCGGACGGGUGAGUAACACGUGGAUAACCUACCUAUAAGACUGGGAUAACUUCGGGAAACCGGAGCUAAUACCGGAUAAUAUAUUGAACCGCAUGGUUCAAUAGUUAAAUACGGUUUUGCUGUCACUUCUAGAUGGAUCCGCGCCGCAUUAGCUAGUUGGUAAGGUAACGGCUUACCAAGGCCACGAUGCGAAGCCGACCUGAGAGGGUGAUCGGCCACACUGGAGCUGAGACACGGUCCCGACUCCUACGGGAGGCAGCAGUAGGGAUUCUUCCGCAAUGGGCGAAAGCCUGACGGAGCAACGCCGCGUGAGUGAUGAAGGUCUUCGCAUCGUAGAACUCUGUUAUUAGGGAAGAACAAAUGUGUAAGUACCUAUGCACGUCUUGACGGUACCUAAACAGAAAGCACCGGCUAACUACGUG